GUAGUCUGCAACCCGACUACAUGAAGCUGGAAUCGCUAGUAAUCGCGGAUCAGAAUGCCGCGGUGAAUACGUUCCCGGGUCUUGUACACACCGCCCGUCACACCAUGGGAGGUCGGAAAUGCCCGAAGUCUGUGACCCAACCUGAGAGGGAGGGAGCAGCCGAAGGCAGGUCUGAUGACUGGGGUGAAGUCGUAACAAGGUAAC
rnacentral:rRNA from 1 species